rnacentral:rRNA from 1 species
UACGUAGGGUGCGAGCGUUGUCCGGAAUUAUUGGGCGUAAAGAGCUCGUAGGCGGCCGGUUGCGUCUGCUGUGAAAUCCCGGGGCUUAACCCCGGGCGUGCAGUGGAUACGGGCUGGCUGGAGGCAGGCAGGGGAGAAUGGAAUUCCCGGUGUAGCGGUGAAAUGCGCAGAUAUCGGGAGGAACACCGGUGGCGAAGGCGGUUCUCUGGGCCUGUGCUGAUGCUGAGGAGCGAAAGCGUGGGGAGCGAACAGG